GACACCCACGUGAACACACACGAUGCUGCUCUGCUCCCACCCAAAUGGGCAGACCAGAUGGAGUUGCUAGAGUCUGCCACGUGUGGCCUUUCUCAAGAAGCGAGCAGGCUUUUGAUGCAUCGAGUUCAGAGCUUGGCUAAAUUCAUACAACCAUCAUCUUGAAGUCAUCAGCCAUUAAUACCAGAAGUCCAAGCUCAGGACGCCAGCAUGGCCAGCUCCUGCCAAGGGUCCUCUUCCCAGGUGCGGCAUGCCGACUUCCUUUCACGGACUCGCGGGUGAAGGCGGGCCAGAGAACUCCCUGAGGUCUCUCACGAGGGCGCUAAUUCCAUGCAUCAGUGUGCCACCUCAUGACUUAACUAUCCCCCAAAGGCACCAUAAACUAACACCAUCACACCGGACGUUCAGAUUUCAAUUUAUAAAUUUACAGGGACA